UAUCAAUAAAUUCACCUAUUAUCACCUGGCAGGUGCUGUGGUUGGUCUGAGGGUUGUGCUUGCCCAGAACAAAAGUAUAGGGGCUGGUUCCUAAAACUCAGUCCAACAGAUGGCCACUUCUAUC